GACUCGAAUUUACUUACGUAAUUGACUAGUUUGUAAUUUCUUUGCUUAAACUUUCAUUAACCAAUUCAUUUAGUAAUUUGUAAUCAAUUAUAUGCCUGGAUAGAUGGUUAUUUACAAAUUAAAUUAAUGGAAUGCUUGAACGAAUUAAAAUUAUUGAUUGCCUCAUUGCUAUGAGAUUAAUUGAGACUCUCAAGUUUCAACUUUGUUGUGUGAAUUUGUUAUUGUUAUUAAAGUUUAAUUUGGAUUUUGGGUGUUGUUAUUGGUUAUUGAAGAUAACUUUGAAUUUUUAGAAUGAUUUUUUAGUUUUUUUCUUGUAAUUUAAGAAAUUAUUUUUGUAUUUUUUGGUUGUAAUUUCGAAUUUGAAUAGAUGUAUUUUAUUUUCAAACAAUUUAAAUUGAUUUUUUUUUUUUUGAUUUAAUGUCCCACUAAUUCCAAAUCCACGUAGGUAAAAUCCUCGAUACGUCACUGUUACAUGCAGGAAGGCUCAUAUUCUACCACAUUGGCAUAAGCAAUAACUUCGAGUAUAAUUACUCUCAACACCAAUGAUGUGUAUAGACUAGUGGAUCGUGUCUAGUAAAAGAUCUAAUUGAAUUUUAUAUUUUCAAAAGAUAAGGUUAUCAUUAUUACAUCAAACUUUUAACGUAAAUUAUAUUUCUGCUCUUUGCUGCUUAAACAAAAAAUUCAAAUACUAAAGAAAAAAUUAAAAAUCUUAGCUUAUAGCGUAAUCUAUAUCGGUAGCCUCACAUAAACAAAUACGCAUAUAUAAUAAUGUAAUAUAAGCAUGACUCAUGAGCGAUAUCUAGCACGUGUACUUUCAUGCAUUCGGAUUGCCUUACAUAUGUUAAUUACCCAUGACCCGCAACAUCUUCAACAGUUAUAAAUAACCUCAAAGAUUACCUAAGAAGAGAUCAAACUUAAAUUCAAUAUUCCAAAUCUUGUUUAAAGCUCAACUCAAAAUCCUUGAAUUACCUCAAAUAUGAGGCAGUCAAUGAAGCCAUUUGCUGUUAUCCUACUUAUGCUCCUGCUUGCGUUCGCUACAGAGGAUGGGCCAAGAGUAGCAGAAGCUUUAUUUGGAAGAUGCAAGAAAGUACCGAGCCGGACGUACAAGGGACCGUGUGCCAGGGAUGCUAAUUGCCGAUCGGUUUGCAUUUCGGAGGGAUAUAAUGGAGGCGAUUGUCACGGCUUUCGCCGGAGAUGCAUGUGCACCGAUAAAUGCUCUUAGGCUAGCUCUCCUAGCUAGCUCAUCAAAAAAACACAUAUAUCAUAUGUAUGAUGUAGUACUACUUUGCUUAUAUAUAUAGAGCUCGCACUUUGCUUUCGCUGUUCA